ACCUGGCUGGCUCAGCUGGUAGAGCAUGUGACUCUUGAUCUCAGGGUGGUGAGUUCAAGCCCCACCUUGGGUG
rnacentral:tRNA from 1 species